CAGUCGCCGCGGGAAUACGAAGGGUGCAAGCGUUACUCGGAAUUACUGGGCGUAAAGCGUGCGUAGGUGGUGGUUUAAGUCCGUUGUGAAAGCCCUGGGCUCAACCUGGGAAUUGCAGUGGAUACUGGAUCACUAGAGUGUGGUAGAGGAUAGUGGAAUUUCCGGUGUAGCAGUGAAAUGCGUAGAGAUCGGAAGGAACAUCUGUGGCGAAGGCGACUAUCUGGGCCAACACUGACGCUGAGGCACGAAAGCGUGGGGAGCAAACAGGAUUAGAUACCCGGGUAGUCCCUGUCUCUUUACA
rnacentral:rRNA from 1 species